CAUCAUGGAUGCUUAUAAAAAUAUAUUUUAAAUAAAAUUAUAUGUGUGAUCCAGUUAUUACAUACAAAGCAAGUCUAGAUUUAAAUUUGAAGAAGAUCAAAGUGACAAGAAGAGAGAACAAAUAAGUGUGAUAUGCUAGUUGUUGUCUGGUUGUACAAUCUGAGUAGCCAUACCUACAAUUCUAAACGGAUCCGUAUCUUCCUUACAGCAUCAUUCUAAAUGAUUUGUACUUUCAAAACGGCGCCUCGCCGGAAUCGCUUACAUCGCUGUCGAAAGGGUUGAGAGAGAAGAGGAGAAGAGAGAGAAGAGGAGAAGAGAGAAGAGUUUUUGUGAAAUGAAAAAGAUAUGAAAAGAUUUUUUUAAAAAUAAUUUUCCCUCAACCACUCACAAUGUGACACAUACUGAGUGCUUAACAUUUGCUUAAAAACCUAAAUUAAGCAUCGAUGCUUCAUUUUUAUUCCUACUUUUGCAUUAAAAUAAUUCAGUUUAAUGUUGAGUACUCUUUAAUAAUUCUCUAAGCACCUCCAUUGGAGGUGCCC
rnacentral:lncRNA from 1 species